rnacentral:rRNA from 1 species
UACGUAGGGUGCAAGCGUUGCCCGGAUUUAUUGGGCGUAAAGAGCGCGCAGGCGGCUCGAGGCGUCCCGUGUGAAAUCCCCCGGCUCAACUGGGGGCGGUCACGGGAUACGGUCGAGCUCAGAGCGAGGGAGAGGGUCGUGGAAUUCCCGGAGUAGUGGUGAAAUGCGUAGAGAUCGGGAAGAACACCAGUGGCGAAGGCGACGACCUGGACCUCUGCUGACGCUGAGGCGCGAAAGCGUGGGGAGCGAUCCGG